rnacentral:rRNA from 1 species
GAUGAACGCUGGCGGCGUGCCUAAUACAUGCAAGUCGAGCGAACAGACGAGGAGCUUGCUCCUCUGACGUUAGCGGCGGACGGGUGAGUAACACGUGGAUAACCUACCUAUAAGACUGGGAUAACUUCGGGAAACCGGAGCUAAUACCGGAUAAUAUAUUGAACCGCAUGGUUCAAUAGUGAAAGACGGUUUUGCUGUCACUUAUAGAUGGAUCCGCGCCGCAUUAGCUAGUUGGUAAGGUAACGGCUUACCAAGGCAACGAUGCGUAGCCGACCUGAGAGGGUGAUCGGCCACACUGGUACUGAGACACGGUCCAGACUCCUACGGGAGGCAGCAGUAGGGAAUCUUCCGCAAUGGGCGAAAGCCUGACGGAGCAACGCCGCGUGAGCGAUGAAGGUCUUCGGAUCGUAAAACUCUGUUAUUAGGGAAGAACAAAUGUGUAAGUAACUAUGCACGUCUUGACGGUACCUAAUCAGAAAGCCACGGCUAACUACGUG